CUGUAACCCAGCAUUUGUUAGACCGUGUGAUGUCACAAUGGCUAGAGUGAAGAAUGACCUGCUAAGUACUACUGUAGAGGUCAUUAUCCUUCACAUGUCACAAUAAGAUGAAGAAUGACCUGUUAAGAACUACUGUAGAGGUCAUUAUCCUUCACGUGUCACAAUAAGAUGAAGAAUGACCUGUUAAGAGCUACUGUAGAGGUCAUUAUCCUUCACGUGUCACAAUAAGGUGAAGAAUGACCUGCUAAGUACUACUGUAGAGGUCAUUAUCCUUCACGUGUCACAAUAAGAUGAAGAAUGACCUGCUAAGUACUACUGUAGAGGUCAUUAUCCUUCACAUGUCACAAUCAGAUGAAGAAUGAGCUGUUAAGUACUACUGUAGGGGUCAUUAUCCUUCACGUGUCACAAUAAGGUGAAGAAUGUUCCAUUUGCCUGGGGGCCCCCAGCUCCACUAAAACCAUUGACAUCUGCGUGCCGUUUUUCAAGGGGUUAUUAAAUACAUGUUAUAACUAUUUCUUUAUAAUAUUAUAAU
ensembl:lncRNA